CUCGUAAACCCCUGUCAUUUGCGAACAAACCCUGCGUUUGAACAAAGCGCAGGCUGAUAGUAGCAAAAGAGGAAGGGACGGCUAACUCUGUGC
rnacentral:rRNA from 1 species